rnacentral:lncRNA from 1 species
ACCAACAUGAAUUUCAAAGCUGUAGAAUAAAAGUAUAAAUACUAAACAUGAACAUGAACAUGUCAAAAUAAAAGCCUAGUCAUGAAUAUACUAAAAAUUAUUAUUAUUUUUUACUUGGCAACCCAGAAGCAUCCACUCGUCCAAUCUUCCACGCGUUCAACAUGACCCUUUCUAAUCUGAAAUUUGUUUGUAAGAGUGAGUAUUUUAAACAAAACACUCAAUAAGAUAUGUGCAAAUUUCUAUUCAACAUAACAUAAAUAUAAAUGAAAAACAUUCAUACCCGACAUUCAUAUGGUUCAAGGAAUUUCUUUAGAAUUCCCACAUCCCAUAGGAUUUACAUAAUUGGACCUGACGAUCUAUCCCGAAAGAUUUAACAUAAAAAUCAUUUCUUGGAAUCUUAAGGCAUUAAAUGAAAUCAUAAUAUAGAUAUUAAGGAGAAUAAAAAUUUUAACUACUGCACUUAUGUAUUUUACCUUAAAAAUUUGAAUUUGUUGAAAACUUGAAAAUGGAUUCUCCUGGUUCCCUUGACUAGAAGAAUAGCAAAGUAUAUGGAGUUUAUAACUUUG